rnacentral:misc_RNA from 1 species
UGUUAUAUAAUUAUAUUCAUACGUAUAAUAUAAGGUUAUUCAUUCAUGGUUCCUUUACAAGUUCGUUGUUUUUGCCACUGCUCAGAGAAUCAGCAAAUAAUGACUUUUAACAUACCUAAAAAAUGUCCUGUUUGUAACAUAAAACUGCACGAAAAAGAUCUGUUAAAUUUCUACUAUUUUCCCAGUCCAUUUUAUUUUCAUCUUGAUGCCAUUAUCAAUGGAGAAGUCAGCGGUUUUGCAAUAAUGCCAUUUAGUAUAUUAGUAAAACCGACUAAUGAAGCUAUACUGAUGGCGAUGACUUGCAUGUUGCUCUUACUGAUUCUCAAGCAAAUAUCUAUAGUUUUAACCAACAUGGUGUUAUUAUUGAAAAACAUAAUUGGAACUGUUGCUUAUGCAUACCAAUCAUAGAAUCUCUUGAUAAUGAAAAGGAUCUUGAAUUAUAUUGGGAUGCAACGUUAAAAAAGUCAAUUUGCAAUAAUGUUUGGAUUUAUCAAAGGUACCAUGAGCAAAGAUAUAAUUGUUAUCAUUAUGUCAAUACUAUAUUAACAGAAACACUUAAACUAAAUAUUUCAAAAGAAGACUUUUGUAGGCAUCAUAUUCUACCAGAGAUUCUACGUGCAACUGACUACAUUAUGUUAUACAAAGAAAUUCAAAAUAAAAAUUAUGUAGUACGUUAUAUUCCAUAAUCAACUUUUUCAAUAAUUUUAUUAAAUAAAGUUAAAAAAACUAACCACUAUUAAAAGCAAAAACUAUGUAAAUAUUUACAUUUUCUAGCGGAUAGAGAUUUAUAGAUAAUUAUUAUGAGUUAUAAAGAAUUGUAAAUUUUUAUUAAAAUUUAACCCAAAUUAUGCUUGAUUUUUGUGAGUUCGUGUCAUACGCCCAGUGGCAAAACUAGGGAAUGGCAGCUAUGGCAUGUCCUAGCUAACAUUGUUUCAGUGGACUUGCAGUGAAUCUAUAUAUGCAUGUUUUAGUGGUUUAUUGAAGUUUUGCGCAUUGCUUACUUAGUGUACCAUUAGUUGCAGCCGCUAUAAAUGGUCAGUCAAUAACUUUCCGUAUGUUAAUAGUGGUUAGUCAUUGGCUAGCCGCUUAUGGUGGUUGCCACUAAUGGUCCACUAAGUAACCGAUGAGCAAAACAACAGUGGUCCUCUCAUAAUGUCUAUAUAAUUUCUCUAUAGAAUGUUUGCUGGGGUGAAAGGAGGGGAGCGUAAAAAAGCAAAAAUAAAAAAAUAUAUAUUUUUAUUAAUAUAAAUAUGUAGAUUAGUGUAAAGUAAAAACAACAUUUUUAGAAAUACAACUUUUUUCCCUGGUUUCAUUAUUAGUCAUAGAAAAAGUAAGAAAUGAGAGAGACAAAUAAAAUUAAUAAAAGUUACCCCUGCAACAAUUAUUAUUAUUCUAAUGCUACUAAUGCUACUAAUGCAACAGUACAUAAUGCUAUUGUAUUUACUAUUAUAUUUACUAGUAGUUUGAUAAAUAUGAUUCAGUAAAUCGAAUGUUAAGAUCUAAAAUAAAUCAUCCAUCCUUUGGGUACUCAAAUCCACUCUCUGGGGUACAAUUGCGUAAGCAAGCUAUGCUGCAUAUAAUUUCUCAAAUAAUAGUACCACUAAAAAAUAUACGUUAUGAUUUUAAAUAAUCUUCUUGGAAAAAACAAUUUAAAAAAUGAACCAGUUUAAACAGCAAUGCAGGUCUUAUACCAUUAGGAAAAGUAUAACAUUCCAACUGUAGCAUCAUUUACAUCCUUGGGAUAGAGAGUUGUUGACGUUUAUGAGCAAUGCAAAAUUUUCAACUGCUGACAGGGUAAAUAAUUAAAAUAAACAUCAGCUUUAUAAAGAAAACUUAGAUUCUUUUAUUUCUGCCACGUUCAGUAGUUCAAAACUACCGCCUAUUGAUGAAAACACUCCAGUAUCAAAUUUCUCGUCAUCUUUAAAGCAGAUGCAAUUAUGUCUCCAUUCUUUUCCAUUAUUCUGUUUUUUAAUUAAUGAAAGAGAAUUAGUCAAAAAGAUUUACAACAAAUGUAGUAUCAGCUAUACUUGAAGAUACUGGCAUUAUUUCAAAUGAUAACAAAGUACAAAUUAUUGACCGGAGCAAAAUAUUACAGUGGACAGAACCAACACUAAACGCAAAAAAGAAUAACCAAAUUGGUGCCACACCCAAGCUGUAGAAUGUUGUGUGAAGAUGGUGACAGGCGUUUCUGGUUCAAAUCUUUUAUAUAUGGAAAAUAAAUAGCCGAAACAAGAAGAAGGCAUAUAUUGUCUAAUCGUCGAGCCCCAUCUACUUUAUCACCGUUAGUUAAUAUUACUAUUUAAAAAUUAACAAGCUAAAAGUUAAAAAAUAAAUAAAUGAUGUUAAUUACAAUGCAACUCGUCGCAGAUAUUACAAACGUACAACAUAUCAUAAACGUAACGCUAAAACGUAUAAUAAGAUAUUAAAAUAAAAAUAAAUUAUGGCACAAAUUUUUUAUUUUAUUAAUAAAAGUCAGAUAAACAGGACAAAAAUAAUUGUAUAGUAAUGAUUUAUUAGAUUCAGAUUAAUUUGUUAAUUCAG